rnacentral:rRNA from 1 species
AGAGUUUGAUCCUGGCUCAGGACGAACGCUGGCGGCGCGCCUAACACAUGCAAGUCGAACGAGCGAGAGAGAGCUUGCUUUCUCGAGCGAGUGGCGAACGGGUGAGUAACGCGUGAGGAACCUGCCUCAAAGAGGGGGACAACAGUUGGAAACGACUGCUAAUACCGCAUAAGCCCACGGCUCGGCAUCGAGCAGAGGGAAAAGGAGCAAUCCGCUUUGAGAUGGCCUCGCGUCCGAUUAGCUAGUUGGUGAGGUAACGGCCCACCAAGGCGACGAUCGGUAGCCGGACUGAGAGGUUGAACGGCCACAUUGGGACUGAGACACGGCCCAGACUCCUACGGGAGGCAGCAGUGGGGAAUAUUGCACAAUGGGGGAAACCCUGAUGCAGCGACGCCGCGUGGAGGAAGAAGGUCUUCGGAUUGUAAACUCCUGUUGUUGGGGAAGAUAAUGACGGUACCCAACAAGGAAGUGACGGCUAACUACGUGCCAGCAGCCGCGGUAAAACGUAGGUCACAAGCGUUGUCCGGAAUUACUGGGUGUAAAGGGAGCGCAGGCGGGAAGACAAGUUGGAAGUGAAAUCUAUGGGCUCAACCCAUAAACUGCUUUCAAAACUGUUUUUCUUGAGUAGUGCAGAGGUAGGCGGAAUUCCCGGUGUAGCGGUGGAAUGCGUAGAUAUCGGGAGGAACACCAGUGGCGAAGGCGGCCUACUGGGCACCAACUGACGCUGAGGCUCGAAAGUGUGGGUAGCAAACAGGAUUAGAUACCCUGGUAGUCCACACCGUAAACGAUGAUUACUAGGUGUUGGAGGAUUGACCCCUUCAGUGCCGCAGUUAACACAAUAAGUAAUCCACCUGGGGAGUACGACCGCAAGGUUGAAACUCAAAGGAAUUGACGGGGGCCCGCACAAGCAGUGGAGUAUGUGGUUUAAUUCGACGCAACGCGAAGAACCUUACCAAGUCUUGACAUCCCUUGACAGGCAUAGAAAUAUGUUUUCUCUUCGGAGCAAGGAGACAGGUGGUGCAUGGUUGUCGUCAGCUCGUGUCGUGAGAUGUUGGGUUAAGUCCCGCAACGAGCGCAACCCUUAUGGUCAGUUACUACGCAAGAGGACUCUGGCCAGACUGCCGUUGACAAAACGGAGGAAGGUGGGGAUGACGUCAAAUCAUCAUGCCCCUUAUGAUUUGGGCUACACACGUGCUACAAUGGCGUAAACAAAGGGAAGCGAGAGGGUGACCUGGAGCAAAUCCCAAAAAUAACGUCUCAGUUCGGAUUGUAGUCUGCAACUCGACUACAUGAAGCUGGAAUCGCUAGUAAUCGCGAAUCAGAAUGUCGCGGUGAAUACGUUCCCGGGUCUUGUACACACCGCCCGUCACACCAUGGGAGUCAGUAACGCCCGAAGUCAGUGACCCAACCGCAAGGAGGGAGCUGCCGAAGGCAGGUUCGAUAACUGGGGUGAAGUCGUAACAAGGUAGCCGUAUCGGAAGGUGCGGCUG